rnacentral:rRNA from 1 species
GACGUAGGAUCCGAGCGUUGUCCGGAGUUACUGGGCGUAAAGCGCGCGCAGGCGGACCGAUACAUCGGCGGUGAAAGCCCCCCGCUCAACGGGGGAGGGUCCGUCGAGAUGGGCGGUCUGGAGGCAGGGAGAGGCCAGUGGAAUUCCGGGUGUAGUGGUGAAAUUCGUAGAUAUUCGCAAGAACACCAGUGGCGAAGGCGGCUCACUGGCUCGGUACUGACGCUGAGGUGCGAAAGCGUGGGGAGCAAACAGG